rnacentral:lncRNA from 1 species
CGGCCGCGGGCACAGUGAGGACGAAGCGCCGGGGCCCUGCCUGCGCCCCCACUCAGGGCGCCCUCGUCACGGCCGCGUCCUGUCCUCCGUGCGCUCCUAAUAGCUCCACGUCAGAGUUCCCAGUUUCAGUGGAUGAAUCCAAUGUGGAGACCAAAACCGCUGAAAGGAGUCCACAGAGCAAGUCUGAUGGCCCUGCUUCCUUGGGCAUAUUCUACCAGCUGCCACCAGAAGUUGUGGCCCAGAUUUACAGUGGAUCUUCUCACCUCAAGUGAUCAAAUCAAGAAAAUUUCUUCAUCCAUGCCCAGCUGCUUGUGUUCUAGUUGAUUCCAGAUGAAGUCAAGGUGACAACCAGAAUUAGCCAUCACCAGUCUACCCCCUGUCAACUCGACACACAAUCACAUCUCCUUAUGUCAUGCUUAAUUUACAAAUGGAAACAAUAACUAGAUCAUAAUUAUACCUAAUAUGAUGUAACUCUCACAUGGACAGCCA